UCCGGUUUGUCACCGGCAGUCCCAUUAGAGUGCCCAACUAAAUGAUGGCAACUAGGGAUAAGGGUUGCGCUCGUUAAGGGACUUAACCCGACAUCUCACGAUACGAGCUGACGACAGCCAUGCAGCACCUGUCUCGCUGUCCCCGAAGGGAAAACCGUAUCUCUACGGCUGUCAGCGUAUGUCAAACCCAGGUAAGGUUCUUCGCGUUGCAUCGAAUUAAACCACAUGCUCCACCGCUUGUGCGGGCCCCCGUCAAUUCCUUUGAGUUUUAACCUUGCGGCCGUACUUCCCAGGCGGGGUACUUAAUGCGUUAGCUACGACACUGCAGGGGUCAAUUCCUGCAACAUCUAGUACCCAUCGUUUACGGCGUGGACUAC
rnacentral:misc_RNA from 1 species